UUGAAAAGCCAACCGAGCUUGUUGAUAGCUGGUUGUCUGAAUAAAUGAAUCUUAGUUCAACCUUAGACUCCAAUAGCCACCCUUUUGGCCCAACUUAGUCUAAGAUAUAGUUAAUGAAGGCACAGCUUCAUUAAUACAGGAAACAGCCUUUAUUAGAGACAAAAUCACAUCUUAUACCACGUAGGCCCUAAAGCAGCCAACAAAGACAAAAUGCGUUACAGCAAUUCAUAUAUAAAAUACCACAAUAAAAAUAAAACUCCUACUAUGCAUCAGACAAAUCUAUAAACAUAGAAACACCCCUGUUAAAACUAGUAAUAAGAAAAAUUCUCUAGCACACAAGUAACAAUUAACAGACAUCUACUAAUUGAACCCAGAAAUUAACAAGAUAAAGCCAACCUACUUAAACUGUUAGCCCAACCCAGGAGUGUAUAAAAGAAAGAUUAAAAGUUAUAAAAGGAACUCGGCAAUCAAAGUCCCAACUGUUUACCAAAAACAUAGCCUUUAGCCCAACAAGUAUUAAAGGUAAUGCCUGCCCAGUGAUUUUUUUCAACGGCCGCGGGAUCCUACACCGUGCAAAGGUAGCAUAAUCACUUGUCAUCUAAAUAAUGACUAGUAUGAACGGCCCAAUGAGGACUUUCCUGUCUCUUAUAAUCAAUCAAUGAAACUGAUCUCUCAGUCCAAAAGCUGAAAUACCCCCACAAGACGAAAAGACCCUGUGGAACUUCUAAGUGCUAAUCAAUUAAUGAUUAAUCACUUUUGGUUGGGGCAACUUUGGAACAAAACAAAACUUCCAAUUUUUAGGAUUAUUAAAAAUUUAAACUUAGGCCUACCUGCCAAUCUUUAAGUCCUUAUUCGACCCAGCACCGCUGAUAAAAGAAACAAGCUACCCCAGGGAUAACAGCGCCAUCCCCUCUUAGAGUCCCAAUCGACGAGCGGGGCUUACGACCUCGAUGUUGGAUCAGGGCCCCCAAACAGUGCAGCAGCUGUUAAAGGUUUGUUUGUUCAACAAUUAAUGCCCUACGUGAUCUGAGUUCAGACCGGAGA
rnacentral:rRNA from 1 species